rnacentral:lncRNA from 13 species
GCCCCCCACUGCCGAGCCUGGUUGGGACGAGGGAGAGUCUCAAAACCUCCGCCAUCAGGAGAACCAGCUCUGCGAGGACCCUCAGUCCCUACUCUUGCCUCAAAGCUUCUGGGGGGGCCCUCUGUGACCACCACUCGCUCCUCGCCCAGACCUCACCUCGUGCCGGCCCCCUCCCCCGGCCCCAGUGGAAAAAGCUAGUGCGCACCGGCAGCAGCUGUGUGACUCAUCGCCACCCCCUCUGCGCCUCGGCCCCCCACACUACAGCCGCCCCACUCCCCGUCAGCAGCAUCGGCCGCUGCGUCAGCCACUCACGCAGGCUGGUUAUUAAGGGAGCGGAGAGAGACAUCCGAGCUCCUCUGCGCCUGCCGUCCGUGCGGGAGGGGCCCCCCACCCACUGGAGCCCCAGACGCGGGCCGGGCGUGCCCAGCCCGGGAGCAAUUCAGGCCCAUUCUCUCUGAUCUGCCCCCAGCCCCAGCAGUCAGGGUGGGACGUUCACUGCGGGGCAGGGGUGGGAGGUGGAGGGGAUGCCGUGUAGUCACAGCGGCCCCUGCAGAAUUCAUGCCGCCUCCCGCCCCCCAUCAUUCCCUGGUUCUGUGAGCCUCUGCCUUUUCCUGGUUUUGUGAACCACCGAGUUCAUUCAUUCAUUCAUUCAUUCUGCCAGCGCCUAGUUAUUAAGCGCUGACUACGAGCCCGUUCCUGGGUGCGGGAUCCGUGAGUGCCCGCAGCCGUCCCGGGGUCCCAGGGUGGCCUGGCCGCGCACCUGCCGUUCUGCGUCUGCUCGGAGCACUGUGACCGGGACUCGGGUGUGGACCUGUGUCCUUACCUGUGCCUCUGAGGUCACCUGCGUCUGCGUGCACCUGUGCCUCCCACGUGUCUCACCGCGCCCCUGUGGCCCCACCGGGGGUCCCGGGGGGCUGGGACCUCGUCCUUCCCCUGAUGGCCGCUGCCCACGCGGGACCCGAGCGACCGGGGCGCGCUGCCCGUUGCGGACACGAGGGGGCGCUGCGGCCUCGCUCCGUCCAGGGCGUUUGGGACGGGAGCCCGGUGCUGCCCCUCCGCGCACACACCCGCGGCGCGGCCUCGCGUGGGAGAGGGGGCUCCACCGCCCGGUCCUGCGCCGCCACCGCGCCCCGUCCUCGAGGGACCCGCUCUCGCAGGGCGAGGACGCAGCCCGCGUGUCAACCCCGAGCCUCCCGCCACCCCCGCGCCUGGGCCCCAGCGGAGGGGCUCAAAAUAGCCGCGAGGCUGCUAUUCCGGGGCCCGAUGCACGGGGCUCCCCCACCCCGGCGAGGCGCGGGGAUCAGCCGGAGUCCCCGUACCUGCUCCCCGCGCCUCUGUCUUGGGCCGCGUGGGCCCAUUCACUCACCUCCCCCUUUCUCGCCUGCGGUCCCGGAGGGGGCGCGCGCCUCCUGCACCCGGAUACUCCUCCCGGCCCCCGCCCCGGUGUGGCGUCGCCAUGGAGACGGGGGCGGGGCCGCCUCGCCACCGCACCAGCCGCUCCGCCCUCCCCGCGGGGCCCCGCCCGCCGGACGGCGGGGGCCGGGAUCGUGCACCUGGCGGCCGCCCCGCGGGGGCGCGGAAAUGGGACUGUCCUGGCAGAAGCUGCAGCCGGCCCAGCUGGCCCCAGUCCGCGGGGCCCAGAGCCAGGAUAGGGGCUGCAGAGACCCAGAGACCGGGCGUGCGGGUUGCCAGCAGGAACAGAAAGGCUUCUGGAAGGCGGAGGCUGGAGCUGGCCUGGGAACCCCUGACUCCCCAUCCCCCACCCCGACCAGCAGCCUGGAGUCCAGCUUGGCUGGGCAGCCAAGGAUCACGGGCGCUGAGGGGUGAGUGGCUGCCGCGUCUCCCCAAGCACUGCCCACCUGUGAGGUCACCGUCUGGCAGGGGCACCCGCACGGGCUCCCAGCCACGGGGCGCCCCCACCCUGCGAACUCCAGAGGCCAGGCUGCACCAAAGGCCUUGGCUACAGCCUCCACGCCUGGCACAGGCGCUGUGCAACCAACCACUGCCCACAACCAAGCAGCGGGCGGCCAGGGGGCCUCCUGCCUCCUGGGUCCUCAGCUCUCUUGAUCUAGGACUCACAAAGGCAUUUCGGAUUUCCGCCCCAAAACUUCCAACCCCCCUGCCACCCCCUAAAGCCAGCACUUUCCGGGCACGGCCGCGACAGACGCCAGGACUGCACACCGUAGUUCCUUUUCCGUCUCCACCUUCCCAGGGCGAGGCCACCAGGGUCCCCACCGAUCAUCGAU